rnacentral:rRNA from 2 species
CAGGUAGGAGUUACCCGCU